rnacentral:lncRNA from 1 species
AGGGGUCUUGUUUUUGUUUCCCGGUUGUUGUGUGAGCGCUCAGUUUUGGGUGGAGGGAAAAGAAGUCGGAAGUCCAAAUCCCAGAUUAUUUUUCUAUACACAUUGGCACUGACCCUGGGGUGACCUCUCUUUGCUAGUAGGGUUUAGUGGAAAGUAAGCUCACUUAUUAUUGGUGACACUUGAUCUCAUUCAAACUAUUCAACCAACAGAUGAUGAAACCUCACCAGGAAAAGAGCGCAAUCCUGCUGCUUUUGCCCUUGAUCCAUUAGCAACAAUAAAUUCAAGCCAGGGCAAUGUGAAGAAUUAUUGUUCCAGUCCAAAUAGCCAAGCAAUAAAAACCAGAGAAAAAUGAACUGGUUUAAUUGAUUAUCAGUGCCAAUAAAAACCAGGACAAUAUUUUCAUCUGUCACUUAGGGUAUGUGAGAUUUGGGGCUGGAGCCACUAACAGGUGUCUAAUGGCACAUCUGAGCUGACCAGCCCUGAUGAACUUGUCUCUACAUUCCAUCAGGUAGCAGAACUCCAUAUCACCACGGUAACAACUCCAGGGAGGGUAAACCAAAAGUAGGUCACCUGUUGCAGCGUAAACUUCCUCUGUGUGCACAAACUUGCCUUGUCUGAGAGUGAGACAGGAAUUUGAGGGAAGAGGUUGAAAAGGGAGCAGACAGGGUGAUCCUCUGAAUUAUGGGGCCACCUCAGAGGGAACCUGAGAAGUUUUGGCACUGGUGGCAGGGCAGUGCAAACAGAAGUACUUGCAAGGGGUGCUGGAACUUGGAAGGACCAAGAGAGCAUUAGUGGUUGGAGAGGUCAGCUGACAGGAGACAUCACUUUCUACUUCUCCAGCACAGCCACUGAAGAGGCUGCUCUAAAUUCUCAAAGGGAAAGACUUGGAAGCUGGCACCAACAGACACACAAAGACCCCCAGUCUGGAGGAAAAGGGUGGAUUUACUGGGAACUUAGUAUGGAGACAGGAGACAGACUGAUGGCAGCUGGGGUGACCAUCAUCAUGCUGCAUGUUCUAUAGGCAUUCUGCUCACCCAUGAAAGUUGAAUUGACUGGCUUCAAUGCAGCAAAGCUGGAGAGUCUGUCACAUGGGAUCUACGUACAUCAUGCAUGCCUACAUCAAUGAAACCAACUGUCAAGGAUAUUCCAAACAGUUCCACCAAGACAACAAACCAAAGCUUUCAUGUAAUCUUUGUAUUUCACCAACUAGCCACAGAUUGUUGCCAGUGUUUUAUGAUCAAACUUAAGAUAUUAAUUUAAUUCCUAUUUGUCAUAUUGUCCUAUUUCCUCCACUUUCGAAAACAAAAAUCCUAAAAUACUGAAG